rnacentral:rRNA from 1 species
CCAGUUAGAUCCUGGCUCAGAACGAACGCUGGCGGCAGGCUUCCUCAUGCAAGUCGAACGAGAAGCUUCUUCGGAAGUGGACAGUGGCAGACGGGUGAGUAACGCGUGGGAAUUUGCCCAGAGGUUCGGAACAACCAUUGGAAACGAUGGCUAAUACCGGAUAAGCCCUUCGGGGGAAAGAUUUAUCGCCUUUGGAUAAGCCCGCGUAAGAUUAGCUAGUUGGUGAGGUAACGGCUCACCAAGGCUACGAUCUUUAGCUGGUCUGAGAGGAUGAUCAGCCACAUUGGGACUGAGACACGGCCCAGACUCCUACGGGAGGCAGCAGUGGGGAAUAUUGCGCAAUGGGUGAAACCCUGACGCAGCCAUGCCGCGUGAGUGAGGAAGGCCUUAGGGUUGUAAAGCUCUUUCGCUAGGGAAGAUAAUGACGGUACCUAGUAAAGAAGCCCCGGCUAACUCCGUGCCAGCAGCCGCGGUAAUACGGAGGGGGCUAGCGUUGUUCGGAAUCACUGGGCGUAAAGCGCACGUAGGCGGAUUGAUUAGUUGGGGGUGAAAUCCCGGGGCUCAACCUCGGAACUGCCUUCAAUACUGUCAGUCUUGAGUUCGUGAGAGGUAAGUGGAAUUCCGAGUGUAGAGGUGAAAUUCGUAGAUAUUCGGAAGAACACCAGUGGCGAAGGCGACUUACUGGCACGAUACUGACGCUGAGGUGCGAAAGCGUGGGGAAGCAACAGGGAUUAGAUACCCUUGGUAUUCCACCCCGUUAAACAAUGAAUGCUAGCUGGCGGGCAGUUUAAUGGUUCGGGGGCGCAGCUAACGCAUUUAACCUUUCCGCCGGGGGGAUACCGGCCCCAGAACUAAACUCCAAGGGAUUGGAGGGGGGCCCGCCCAACCGGGGGGACUUGGGGGUUUAAUUCCAAGCAACCGCGCAAAACCUUUCCCGGCCCUUGAAUUCCCG